UUCUGUAAGCCUGCGAAGGUGACUCGUAAGGGUUGCUGGAGGUAUCAGAAGUGCGAAUGCUGACAUGAGUAACGUUAAAGCGGGUGAAAAGCCCGCUCGCCGUAAGCCCAAGGUUUCCUGCUCUACGUUCAUCGGAGCAGGGUGAGUCGGCCCCUAAGGUGAGGCUGAGAAGCGUAACUGAUGGGAACAAGGUUAAUAUUCCUUGACCACCGCUGAAUGCGAAGGGGGGACGGAGUAUUGAAGAUCAUCCGGGUGUUGGAUAUCCCGGUUUGCGAGCGUAGGAGGCUGACAGGCAAAUCCGUCAGCGAAUCUCCGAGGCGAAGCAUCGAGCUCUCUUUUGAGCGAAGUGAUUGGAUGUGCUUCCAGGAAAAGCCUCUAAGCUCCAGUUCAGCGGGACCGUACCGCAAACCGACACUGGUGGGCGAGCUGAAUAUGCUCAGGCGCUUGAGAGAACUCAGGAGAAGGAACUCGGCAAAUUGACACCGUAACUUCGGGAUAAGGUGUGCCUUUGUAGCGUGGAGGGAGAAACACCCCGAGCGCGAAGAGGUCUCAGAUAAUCGGUGGCUGCGACUGUUUAUUAAAAACACAGCACUCUGCAAAGACGAAAGUCGACGUAUAGGGUGUGAUGCCUGCCCGGUGCUGGAAGAUUAAUUGAUGGGGUGCAAGCUCCUGAUCGAAGUCCCAGUAAACGGCGGCCGUAACUAUAACGGUCCUAAGGUAGCGAAAUUCCUUGUCGGGUAAGUUCCGACCUGCACGAAUGGCAUAACGAUGGCCACACUGUCUCCUCCUGAGACUCAGUGAAGUUGAAGUGUUUGUGAUGAUGCAAUCUCCCCGCGGCUAGACGGAAAGACCCCAUGAACCUUUACUGUAGCUUUGCAUUGGACUUUGAACCGAUCUGUGUAGGAUAGGCGGGAGCCUGUGAAACCACAACGCCAGUUGUGGUGGAGGCGUCCUUGAAAUACCGCCCUGAUUUGUUUGAGGUUCUAACCUGGGACAGUCAUCCUGUCCGGGGACCGUGCAUGGUAGGCAGUUUGACUGGGGCGGUCUCCUCCUAAAGGGUAACGGAGGAGUGCGAAGGUACGCUAGGUACGGUCGGAAAUCGUGCUGAUAGUGCAAUGGCAAAAGCGUGCUUGACUGCGAGACCCACAAGUCGAGCAGAUACGAAAGUAGGUCAUAGUGAUCCGGUGGCUCUGUAUGGAAGGGCCAUCGCUCAACGGAUAAAAGGUACUCUGGGGAUAACAGGCUGAUACCGCCCAAGAG
rnacentral:rRNA from 1 species